rnacentral:lncRNA from 1 species
UCUCUUAAUAAUAAUUUUUAUUUUAUGAUUCUGUACUUAUUUGGUACUAAUUCAACGUAUAAUAAAUUUUUGACUGGUUGUGUCCCGAGAUGUAGAAGUGGCUAUCGUAUGAUGGAAGGAUCUGAACAUCAUUUGGAUUCUACAACCACCUAACUCAAGUACCGCUUACAUAUAUUCCCAAAGAAUAAAGAACUGAAGAAUAAGUGGAUAAGAGCCAUACGCAGGAUAAAUUUUGUCCUGACUAAAUAUGCUCGUGUUUGCAGUCGUAAUUUUCACGAAUCAUGCUACUCAACAGAACGAAGAGACUCGAAUACUUAUAGAAAACAUCUUGACUUAAAGCGUGAAAAACUUAUGACCGAUGCAGAGCCAACUAUUUUUUCCGAUUCUCCUGAAUAUUUAUCCGUCUUACCUACACCCAAAAAAAGAUCGACUUCACUAUCAACAGCUAAAGCUAGAGUCAAAGGGAGAGAAAACAACUUUAAGACUUAAAGAUUGAAUCAUUUUUGAAGGAUGAUGAGAUAUCUUCAUUCGAAGAAAUUAAGGAUAAAAUCGACAUUACAUGUUUACUUGAAUAUACUCAUGACAUCUACGAGGGAGACUUUGCAAUAUUCUUUGCCAUUACGAUUCAUUCUGUUGUACCUAGAUUCAGUUAUGGAAUCAAAAUAUCUAAAAAACCCAAAAUCCAAAAAUUUGAUAUAUUUUUGAAUGAGUUGAUAGUUUCAAAGGAAGAAGUAAAUCACAUAUGUGCAUCGGAGAGUGUUGGCAAAUUUUCAGAAAUCUAUAACAUGCUUGCAUUCUUCAAAAAAUAGGCAUGUUACAUCUCCAUUAUCGAAUAUUACUUUGGUAAGUAAACUAAUACAAUCAUCACUAGAAGAAGAAUCCAUAUCGAAUGACCAUCUGGAAUUCAUUUUUCAACAACUUGAUUUGCAUUUACAACAUCCUAAAGGAAAGAUGUAUCCUAAGCUCCUUGAAAUAUCUACUUUGUGGUUAAAUACGAGUCCAGCUCUUUACAACUUAAUUCACGAAUCAGGACUCAUCCAACUAUCUGCUGUCAACCAUUUAAAGAGAUUGACAAAUAUAUUUGAAGUCACAGGUGGCGUAAACAAUUCGACAAUUGAAUUCCUAUCUUUAAGAAUGAAGACUUUGGAUUCGAAGGACAUAUAUCUAUUAUAAUUGAUAAGGUUUACACAAAUCAAAGAGUAAAGUUUGCCGGAGGGAAAUUUUUCAGAUGUGAAAAGAGUGGAGAAUAUUCAAAAACUUUAUUGUACUUCAUGAUAAAAAGUGUCAUAGGCUGGUAUAAUAUGGUCGCUAUGAUUCCUAUUACCAAAGUUAGUUCUUCUAUUAUAAAGGAAUACUAUAUGAAAGUGCUCAGCGUUGUUACACAAAUUGGGUUUGAGACGGUUGCAACUAUGGCGGAUGCUCAUCCGGCUAAUAGGAUGUUUUUUCCAGAUGAACAUGGAAACGGAACUUCCGGUGAAUAUAUUUUAAAUCCUUUUGCAAAUAACCAGCAAAAGAUUUAUCUUCUCUUCGAUCCCUUCCACAUUUUUAAAAACUUUUACCAUCAAUUUCAUCAAUAGAAAGUUAUUAGUUUGUCCAUUUUUUGAGCAGGACAAUAUGCAUGCAGAAUUUGUGCAUGUCAAGGAAGUUUUCGAGAUGAAAAUCGGCCUUGGAGGGAAAUUUGCUCUUAAACUUUCUCAAGAAGUGAUUUCAUCUCAGCCUAUCGAAAUAUCUAACGUGUACUUUUGUGUGAGGUUAUUUCGCGAAUCAACAAUUAAUGCUCUUCAUCACUAUGCAAUCUGAAAGCCCUCAAAAGAAUCCUUUAAAGAAGCAGCUGGAGUUUUGAGAAGAUUUUGGAAAUGUGUCAAUGUUUCCUUCAAUAUGACUCAUGUCUCCAAAAGAGAUUAUUCCUUAAGGAGUAUCAAAAAAGGAUCAUCGGGAGCAAAUAAUUUUUUUUUUUAAAUUAUUCGAUCUUUGUUAAAGAAAUGGGAAUUAUCAACAAAACAGCGAGGUAGGAUAGGACUUAUCCCGGGAAGAUUUCACGCUGCAUAUCAGACAUCGAUUGGACUAAGUGAACUUUAGGAAUAUCUUUUGGAUGAAAAAGAUGCACAAUUUGUUCUUCUGAGGAAAAUUAAUUCUAAUCCCAUCGAGAGGAGGUUUCUAUGGUCUAGACAAUUAGCUGGAGGUAAUUAUUUUAUAAGUACUUCUCAAUUUUUGGAAGGAGAGAAAAAAGUUAUCAUAUCUUUCUUACUAAAAUCACAAAUUAAGUCAUUUAAAAAUCUGAAGACAAAUUUUACCAUAAAAAAAGGACCAAAAUAGAAUAUCUAAAGAAGUAAAAUUCAAUGUUAUCAUUGAUCCCUUCGGACUGUUUUGUGGAUUUACAUGAAGGAAUAUUAUAUUAUCUCAGUGGAUAUUGCGCCUAUUCUCUGCUUAAAAUUUGAAAAAGGAUUGUUGUUUAACAUUUUUGUCCGUUAAUGGAGAUUUAAGUGUUCAGUUUGAAGAUGAUUGACCUGAACAAAAAGUAUAUAAAAAGUUUUUUUAACAACAUCAAUAGAGGUGAACUCCGUAAGCCCAGUAAUUUAAUAUACCUAUUAUUUAGUCAUAAAUAUGUUUUAUUUACUUUCGAAGUUAAGAAACAAUCAAUUCUUUAUUAUCUUUGCUGGACCCAAAAUCUGUGUUUUUAGAGGUUGAUAAAGAAUUAUUUUUUCUUCCUCAGAUAUGACUUGGCUAAGUAUGCUGUCCUCAUUACCAUUCUGUGUGAACUUUUUUUUAUUCGAACAUGUUCCAUUUUCUUCAAUCUUUUUGCUAAGAACUUUGUUGCUGAGUGUAAUAAUAAAAUAUACGAAAACAGAAAAAGGAAAUUUCAAUCUAGAUCAUCUUCAAAAAAAUUUAUUUCUCUGUCUUGAUAUUUUCAUCUUUUUUCUCAAUGUAAUAGUUUUUUAUAUGUAUUAUUGUAUCAAAGUCUAUAUGUAUUAUUAAUAGUUCUUAUAGUUACUUGCUGCAUUGAUUAGUAUUUAUGUAGUUAACUAAUGAUAAAUAUAUUUAUUUAAAUAUUC